rnacentral:lncRNA from 1 species
ACCAGAACAAGUACAAUGGGAAAAUACAAAACAACUCUAGCACCCUGCUAUAUAUAAAACUCCCAUACUUACUCAGCUAAGCACAAGUAAGUCUAUUUGUAUCCUAUUCUGUACAAGUAGUAUUUAUUUCUAUCCCCUAUCUAGCUAUAUACUUUUUCUAUCCAUCUUCUAUCCUUGUCCCGCUUCCGUUUGUUGAUUAUCUCCAUCACAUGAACUUUGCAUUCCUUUUUGAUUUGAUCACAUAACCUGCUUGGUCUAGGCAUUGAAAGGCUUCGUUUCUCCCCUUCCAUAUGUGGUAGUUCAAUGCUGCUAAUACAACAAAGGAGAACUCCCUUCUUAGUUUACUUCCCAUUUUCCCGCCUACUCUUUUCCAUAGAUGUUGUCCUUCAUUGUUUGUGAUUCUUAUCUUUAACCACUGAAGAACUUCAGUGAUACACAAUUUAGAAAAUUGGCACUAAUAGAAUAAGUGUUCAAUUGAUUCUGGGGCAUUUCCACAUAAUAUACAUAAGCCAUCUGAACUGAUCCCUAUGUGAGCUAGCCUAUCCUUUGUGAGCAGCUUCCUUUGCAUAAUCAGCCAGCAAAUGAAGCUAUAUUUUGGAAUAUUUUGCUUAUUCCAAACUCAUCUUCCCCAAUAGCAUUUGUCCAGAUUUCCUUUCAACCAUGAGUACCCUUUCAUGAUUGUAUAUCUACCUGUUUGCGAUUGCCAUCCACCCUGAUUAUAUCCCCAUGCAAGCUUGUCUCCUAUAUGGCAAUUUUUUUUCCAAUAUCAGCUACUAUCUUGUGGUACACUGUAUAGCUACCAAUCAGUGUUCUUUAAGUAUAUAUGAUUGAUCCAUUUGACACACAAAGAAUCAGCCUUUGUCGUUAUAUCCCAAACAUAUUUCCCUAUUGCUGCCUCAUUCCAUGCUAUACAGUCCUUUAUUCCUAUCCCUCCCUAUUGACUUGGCCUACAAACAAGAUCCCAGGCCAUUAAUGGUCUUCUGUUUGUUUUCAUCUUUCCAUCCCAUAGAUAAUUACAACAUAUUGCUGUUAUUUUUUUGAGCAUUGCUUUGAGAAGUAGAAAAAUCGAUGCCCAGUACGUGUGGAGAUGCAUCAACACUGCAUUAAUCAUCUGCACUCUCCCGACAUAAGAUAGGUGCUUUGAACCCCAACUCAUUAUUCUAGUUAUUAUUUUAUCUACUAGUACUUAACAAUCCAUUUUUGGUAGCUUCUUCGAUGAUAUUGAGAUACCUAGGUACUUGAAGGGAAGACUGCCUCUACUAUAGCCAGUUAUUUCACAUAAGCUCUCUAUCUCUUGAGUCUUCAUAUUAACAGCAUAUAUGUUGGACUUUCCUGCAUUAGUUGUUAGCCCUGACGAGUUGGACAAGGUUUGAAGCCCUCUUAUCAUCAACAUAACAGAAUUGAAUUCUCCUUUGCAAAAUAGUAACACACCAUCUGCAAAGCAUAAAUGGUUGAGUUGCAAACUUCUGCACUUAGUAUGGUAGCCAAAACUUUCCUGUUGGGCCACUAACUUCAUAAUUCUUGUGAAGUACUCCAUGCAUAUAACAAACAGUAAAGGGGAGAUGAGGUCCCCUUGUCUCAAGCCUCUCUUCCCUCUUAUGCUCCCAUAUAGCCCUCCAUUAAUAGCCAAAGUAUAUUGAGUAGUUGAUAUACAUUCCAUGAUCCACCUUAUGAAGUUCAUAGGGAAAUUUAGAGCAUGUAAUAUUUCCUCUACAAAUUCCCAUUCUAUGGAAUCAUACACCUUUUUAAGGUCUAUUUUUAUCAAGCAACUCCUAGUCGCUGCUUUCCUAUUAUAUAAUCUGACAAGAUCUUGACAAAUCAAUAUAUUUUGCAGGAUUGUUCGUCCAGCUGCAAACGCACUCUGGUUAUCAGAGAGAAUGCUUGGCAGGAUGACUUUAAGUCACUGCAUAGCAUUUUUGAGAUGAUCUUAUAUAUUGUGUUACAGCAGGCUAUAGGUCUAUAAUCCCCAACUGCUUCUGUAUGGCUACUCUUAAGGAUCACUGUAAUAACUGUGCUAUUGACUGCCUUCAGCAUCUUCUCUGAUCUAAAGAACUCAAGUACUCCCUCCUCAAGAUCUGUUCUUAUAAUGUCCCAACUAUCUUUGAAGAAUUUGCUGCCAUAUCCAUUCAGGACCCGAGGCUUUUUCCCAAUCAAUUUGCCAAAGAGCCUGUUUGAUCUCCUUUUUAGUAAAGUCAUAGCCACUUUUGAUUAUGUUAUUUAAGGCAUAGCCACAUUUUACGAGGUAUUUAAUGUGUAGCCACCGUACUACUGCCUUCUUCUGCCGCACUUGAUAUAUACGAAGUAGUGGCUUCUAAUUAGGACGUUAAAUUUUACCAUUCGGCAGUACAUCUUGUUUAAUUAUACACAAGCAUAACAUCUUAUUUUAUUGAAUCUUUCUGUCA